AGAGUCAUACAAGAUGGGCAGGGCUUAAUAAACAUUGACUGCACUUAUGAGGAAGUUCAGUCAUCUGAUAUCAUCAUUAGACUUGAUUUGAAGAAGUAGCUGAAAGUUUAUAGAGCUUAGAAAUUUAGCUCUACGUGAGACCUUAGGGGUCAUGUCAUCAGGGAACCUGAGGCCCUGGAGCAGUUAUAUGAGAGUACUGUGUGCUUCAUCUCGUUGACCUGGAUCUUCCUGUCAAGGCUCCCAAUAGGAAGGAACAGGGAGCAGUGCUUAGUUUGUGUUGUGUGUUCACAACAUUCCAGGUGCCAAACAGAAUUCUUAGGAAGUGAAAGUUUUGCCCCUUGAGGGUUUUAUGUACUAGGAUGUGGCUGUGGUUUUAGCAUUUUAAUUAUUCAAAUCAUAAGAAGGUAAAUAUGUACAAUAAUUAAAACCUUUCUUAUUUUAUGUAAAAGGGAAACGUUGGAAACUUAGAUUUAGAAACUAACUUUUAUUUAGAAAUGUCAUUGCAUCUGACAAAGUUCACUAUCUAAAUCUGAAACUUUCAGGAUUGUUUUAAUAAAAUUUGAAAAAGUAAUUUGUCAUACUGAUCUAUAAAAGUGUGAAUUACUCUGGGGAUUAGCAGGUGAGUUUCUGCAGUAAUUAGGUGUGCCAGAAAUAAUUCCCUGCUUCCCUCCCCCUCUUCCUCCCUCCUUUUCUACGUUUCCUUGCAUUCAUCCUGGCCUCUCAUGUCAUUCUUCCGGGAUUGUCUAAUGAAAUGAGUUUCUCUUCCUCUACCCUAGAAAGUACCACUGUUUCCAUUAUCUCAUGGAGCUAUAUGUGUGUGUGCAUUUUGUUGAUCUCCUAGUAUUUCAAAGAACUAUAAAAACCUAAAAUCAGGAAUGACUGCAGAAAGGGUAUUUUAAUGGAAAAAAAAUUUUUUUUCCUUGACCUGAGGGUUAAUCAGGAUCCUUCUCUCCAUAAUUUUUCAACUUCUCCAUUGCAAGUUUUUUCCUAAUCCAUGAGUGCACUCUUUGGACUUUGAUGAAAUGUGAGGCUUUCUGGUGAAAAAUGCAAAUUGACCAGCAGUCAUAAGCCCUGUGUUCAAGUCUCAGUUUUUUCACUUGCCAGCUGGGG
rnacentral:lncRNA from 1 species